GGGUGCGCUGCGUUCACCAAAACAAACACAUCUCCGAUGUUCCAGUGUGCUGCCGUUGGCUGCCGUGUUGUUUCCGCGUUCCCUGCGGGUUUGUUAGAAUAUGGUACACGCUUGGGUUGCGUACCGGAGUGCUCAGCGCAUGCUUUAAAGUCUGGAGGUAGCUUUCAUAGCUUUCCUGCCGAAAAAGAAACUGAAAUCGCAGUGGAAAGGUUAAGAGUAGAGAAGAAGUUGACUGCGCACGACGUGUAUUCUCACGCGAUGCCUUCCAAGCAAACUACGCUACUGGACGAGGGCCCAAGAGGAGGUUCUUGAAAACGCCGUUCCGUCGGAGAACCUUCCGAAGGGAUCACACGACAGGGUCGUGAGGCUUCGGAAGCCACCGAGAGGUAACAGGGCAGCAUCCGACACGAGCUGCUUGCCUCCUGGUGCUGCAGCAUCAACACAGCACCUCCUGACUGCUUUCGAGAAUGUGCAACAGACUGGCCCCACGACUCCCUUUCGAACAUCCAAAAGGAAUUGCCUGCCCAGGAUGCCUGCGUUCAAGUAGACAGCAUGUUGCAGGCGAAGCUAGGGCCCCACGUUCGCUUGGCGAAAGCUAAAAGUGACAGCGAGCUUGCCUCACUAACUGGGGUUGGAUCUCUACAACUAAUGAGAAACAUUGUAACAGAGUUCGAUAGUGUGCGAGCAAAGCUUUCUUCGAGGAGCUUCCUGCUUUCUUCAGGUGACACUGUGCUCAUCACAUUGAUGAAGCUCUAUCAUGAUGUCAUUAUCAGUUUCCUAGCGUUCCUUUUCAGGAUACAUAGAACAACGGCGUCUGAGAACGUGAAGAUGUCCCUUUGUGUCCUGAGUUCGGUUUUAGGGUCAGCCCUGUAUGUUCCCUGCGACCAGUCUAUUGAGAACAACCUCACAGUUUACUUUAAAAGUUUCCUCGCACGAAAGUUAUUCUGGACUGCACUGAGAUCCCCAUCCAGCGACCACUUGACCUUGCAUCCAGGAUACUGAUGUACAGUCAUUAUAAGAAAACCUACACCCUAAAAGUGCUGAUUGGGUACGCACCAACUGGCAUGUUUACGUUCGUGAGCCGUGCUUUUGGGGGACGGACUUCGCAUUCUUUUAUCACAAAGGAAUCGAGUUCUGGAGAGGUGCUCACCGUACGAGCAGGUAAUGGUCGACAAGGGCUUCCUUAUUGACAAGUUUUGCGACGAGGCUCUUGUCGAGCUUGUGCAGCCUCCAUUUCUGAGGAACAAGCAACAGAUGACUCAACAUGACGCACUCGGGAACCAAGAUAUCGCACUUGCACGUGUCCACGUGGAACGUGCCAUUCAACGACUAAAAGUGUUCAAGAUUCUGCAGCAUCAUUUUCCUAAGCACCUGCUUCCUGUUUGACGAUGUAAUGCAGCUCCUUGCAGGUAUCGUAAACCUUUCACUGCCAAUUUUUGCAGAAGAUAAGUUUCUGUAGCUGGCAAGGAAGCCACAUGUAAAUAGAGUAAAUAUGCGUAUUAGCGGCUUGUAUCAUCAUUUAUGCGGGUUCAAACAUCGGGAAAAGUGCUCGCAAUGUGAUGAAGGCUUUGUGCGGAAAAGGUGCUAGUCUAUAAAAUGUGUAACAGAAAACUCGGUAUGCUGGAUGGGAUCAGUGCAACUUCAGACCAGUUUUGUGCGAGGCUUAUGAAAUUUUUCUAAAAGCCGGUUAACUUUAACCGCAGUAAAAAUUUAAUCGCAUUUCCUUACGAGGGGAAAUUUUGGGUCACGUGACUGGAAGAUUAAGGCAGCAGGGAAACAUGGCGGUGCCUUUGUGAGCGAGCACUGCUCGCUUUGGAACUAAUAUGUCAUGUAGCUGCAAUAUUGGGCACGGUAGUCAGCAGUGAAUAUUGCAGGAGGCUUUUGCUUGGCCUUACGUCAUUUACGCGCUGUCAUCAAGAGAUGAAAAUGAUGGGACAGUAUCUCAACUAGAUUGCACGUAUGCUAAAUAAAUGAGUAAAUAGUUAAAAAAAUAAGCCUCUAGUUAUUAUGAAUUGGCUCACGACAAAUACACUUGACAUCAGUGCGCCUAGUCUUGAUGGGUGCAUGGGUAGUCUUGAUGACGGCGUGUCAGUUAUGAUGCGAAGCUAUAUCCAUGCUAAGCGUGUGCUAAAAAAUGAGAAAUAAAGAAGUUCAU
rnacentral:lncRNA from 1 species